UACAGAGGGGGCAAGCGUUAUUCGGAAUUAUUGGGCGUAAAGGGCGCGUAGGCGGUUCUUUAAGUGAGAUGUGCAAUCCCCGGGCUCAACCUGGGAACUGCAUCUCAUACUGGAGAGCUAGAGUGCUGGAGAGGGUGGUAGAAUUCCACGUGUAGCGGUGAAAUGCGUAGAGAUGUGGAGGAAUACCAGUGGCGAAGGCGGCCACCUGGACAGUAACUGACGCUGAGGCGCGAAAGUGUGGGUAGCAAACAGG
rnacentral:rRNA from 2 species